rnacentral:rRNA from 1 species
GUGGGGAAUAUUGCGCAAUGGGCGAAAGCCUGACGCAGCAACGCCGCGUGAGUGAUGAAGGCCUUCGGGUCGUAAAGCUCUGUCGCAGGGAACGAAAACCACCAUCCAAAUAGGGUGGUGGUAUGACGGUACCCUGAAAGAAAGCUCCGGCCAACUCCGUGCCAGCAGCCGCGGUAAGACGGAGGGAGCAAGCGUUGUUCGGAAUUACUGGGCGUAAAGGGCGCGCAGGCGGUCAUGUAAGUCGGGGGUGGAAGCCCACGGCUUAACCGUGGAAUUGCCUUCGAAACUGCAUGACUUGAGUACGGAAGAGGAGAGCGGAAUUCCCAGUGUAGCGGUGAAAUGCGUAGAUAUUGGGAGGAACACCAGUGGCGAAGGCGGCUCUCUGGUCCGAUACUGACGCUGAGGCGCGAAAGCCAGGGGAGCAAACGGGAUUAGAUACCCCUGUAGUCC